rnacentral:rRNA from 1 species
CAGUCUCAGUUCGGAUUGAAGGCUGAAAUUCGCCUUCAUGAAGCCGGAAUUGCUAGUAAUGGCAGGUCAGCAUACUGCCGUGAAUACGUUCCCGGGCCUUGUACACACCGCCCGUCACACCAUGAGAGUUGGGAAUACCCGAAGCCUGUGAGCUAACUUUUAGAGGCAGCAGUCGAAGGUAGAAUCAAUGAUUGGGGUGAAGUCGUAACAAGGUACC